UACGUAGGCAGCGAGCGUUGUUCGGAGUUAUUGGGCGUAAAGAGCGUGUAGGCGGCCAGGUAGGUCUGGUGUGAAAACUCGAGGCUUAACCUUGAGAUGUCAUCGGAAACCAUUUGGCUAGAGUCCGGAAGGGGAAAGUGGAAUUCCUGGUGUAGCGGUGAAAUGCGCAGAUAUCAGGAAGAACACCAAUGGCGAAAGCAGCUUUCUGGGACGGUACUGACGCUGAGACGCGAAAGCGUGGGGAGCGAACAGG
rnacentral:rRNA from 1 species